GCCCUGGUGGCGUAACGGAUAGCGCACUCGCCCGGAAAGCGUGAGGUGCGGGUUCGACUCCCGCCUGGGGCA
rnacentral:tRNA from 1 species